UAUAUGGGUGCGUGUGUGUGUAUAUAUAUAUAUAUAUAUAUAUAUAUACAUGCACACAUCACAUACAUAUG